UAGGGAAUCUUCGGCAAUGGACGAAAGUCUGACCGAGCAACGCCGCGUGAGUGAAGAAGGUUUUCGGAUCGUAAAACUCUUUUGUUAGAGAAGAACAAGGACGUUAGUAACUGAACGUCCCCUGACGGUAUCUAACCAGAAAGCCACGGCUAACUACGUGCCAGCAUCCGCUGUACUACGUAGGUGGCAAGCGUUUUCCGGAUAUAUUGUGCGUAAAGCGUGCGCAGGCGGUUUCUUAAGUCUGAGGUGAAAGACCCCGGCUCAACCGGGGAGGGUCAGUGGAAACUGGGAGACUUGAGUGCAGAAGGGGAGAGUGGAAUUCCGUGUGUAGCGGUGAAAGGCGUAGAUAUAUGGAGAAACACCAGUGGAGAAGGCGGCUCUCUGGUCUGUAACUGACGCUGAGGCUCGAAAGCGUGGGGAGCAAACAGG
rnacentral:rRNA from 1 species